CUUCCUGCCCCCUCCGAGUUUUGCCUCUCUCACUGGCAGCAACCCAGCGCUUCCAUUGCUGACCUCUACCGACCUCUACCUGUGGUCCUUCCUCUACUGCAGCAGAGACACUGUUUUCUUCCUUUGUUCUUCCAACCCCAUGGCACAGAAACACUCUCCACUGCGGCCAAGGAUUGCAGGAGAGGUGGCAUCAGUGAUUCAAGACUUCUUUUCCUACCUCUUCAGUGUUUCUUUCAGUGAUCUGAAGUUAAAGCCAGGGGGAAUAUCACAGAAGUGAAGUGCAAUUCUCAUCAUGUCAUAUCAAGAGCACACACUAACAAACAACAUGACUUAUUGCUGAAUAUUGAACUUGAUCACCUGGCUGAGGUAGUGUUUGCCAGAUUUCUCUGUAAAGGUGAAUAAACUGACACUGGAACAUUCAGGAACUUCUUCAUGGUCAUGGUCACCCAGCUAGAGUGUGGAAGCCAGGCUGUCUGAUUCCAGGAUCUGUGUUCUUAAUCCUAUACAUAAGGAAGCCAUAAUGAGUCAACCACUAUUUUUAAGAUUCACAGAUGUUCGGGUCCAAUUCACCAGAAUGCCAAGUUAUACAGGGUUGUGGAAUCAAAAACUGCAAUUAGUAAUAAAAUGUGAUGCUAUCUAGAAUGUUUUUCAUACAUAUAUAUGCUUCUUGGGACUCUCCCUGCAGGUUAAGAGAAAUUGAGAAACGAUGGAGAAUUUAAGUGUUUUAGAUCCUACAUACAUUAGACUUAAAAAUAGUAACUAUGUACAUGAGUAUUUGUAAACUUAAGAAUGAACAUAACAUGAACCAUGUGGCACCUAUAAAAUGAAAAUAAAAUACCUACAAACCAAAUGAGAGCAAUAAAAGAAGCUUUAAGGACUUUCACUUCAGGGAGUCUGAAUUAGAUGCGCUUCUUCCCAUUCCUCCCUCUAAUUACAACAAGCUUGGACGUUACAUACAGAACAAACAGAAGGAGUCUCUGAAAGAUGAAGAGAAGGCAAGUAAGCUACAGACUUCACAAUGUAAGGAAUAAUAUGGUGGUGAGUUACAUUUGUGAUUUUUUUUUGUCUCAUAUCCCAUAAUAUCUCAUAUCUCAUAAUCAGUUAGAAAGCACAAUGGAAAAGUAUUCCACUGCCAAUGGUGUUAGAGAACUGCUCACAAAUUCAACAGAAAUGCACAGAUACCAAAGCAGAAAGGACAAUAAACAAGAGUCUUCAUGGUCAAAAGAUUAGAAGCUGCAGCUUUCAAUGGGAGGGACAGGUUCUGGACCACACUGCAGUGCUUUUCUGCUUUCUGUGCUUUCCCACUCUAGAGCUGAAGAAGGUAACGACCCCAAAAUGUCAAUAUACGUAGACCAAAAACCAGCCCCAAUAAAAGUCUGCUCUCUCUAGCCAAAGGACUACAGUAGGGCAGCCCAGCAAGACAGAAAACCUUCAGACAACCUACCCCAGCCAAACACUACCAAAAAAA
rnacentral:lncRNA from 1 species